rnacentral:rRNA from 1 species
UACGUAGGUGUCGAGCGUUGUCCGGAUUUACUGGGCGUAAAGGGCGUGCAGGCGGUUUGUUAAGUGCAGGGUGAAAGCUCCCGGCUCAACUGGGAGAGGUCCUUGCAUACUGGCGAACUCGAGGGAGGCAGAGGAAAGUGGAAUUCCCGGUGUAGUGGUGAUAUGCGUAGAUAUCCGGAGGAAUACCAGUGGCGAAGGCGGCUUUCUGGUCUGAUUCUGACGCUGAGGAGCGAAAGCCAGGGGAGCGAACGGG